rnacentral:rRNA from 1 species
UACAGAGGUCUCAAGCGUUGUUCGGAUUCAUUGGGCGUAAAGCGCGUGUAGGCGGUCCGGUAAGUCCGCUGUGAAAGUCGGGGGGCUCAACCCUCGGAUGCCGGUGGAUACUGUCGGGCUUGAGUACGGAAGAGGCGAGUGGAAUUCCUGGUGUAGCGGUGAAAUGCGCAGAUAUCAGGAAGAACACCCGUGGCGAAGGCGGCUCUCUGGGACGGUACUGACGCUGAGACGCGAAAGCGUGGGGAGCAAACAGG